ACUACGGGCGGCAGCAGUGGGGAAUAUUGGGCAAUGGGCGCAAGCCUGACCCAGCAACGCCGCGUGAAGGAAGAAGGCUUUCGGGUUGUAAACUUCUUUUCUCAGGGACGAAGCAAGUGACGGUACCUGAGGAAUAAGCCACGGCUAACUACGUGCCAGCAGCCGCGGUAAUACGUAGGUGGCAAGCGUUAUCCGGAUUUACUGGGUGUAAAGGGCGUGUAGGCGGGGACGCAAGUCAGAUGUGAAAACCACGGGCUCAACCUGUGGCCUGCAUUUGAAACUGUGUUUCUUGAGUACUGGAGAGGCAGACGGAAUUCCUAGUGUAGCGGUGAAAUGCGUAGAUAUUAGGAGGAACACCAGUGGCGAAGGCGGUCUGCUGGACAGCAACUGACGCUGAGGCGCGAAAGCGUGGGGAGCAAACAGGAUUAGAUACCCCAGUAGUC
rnacentral:rRNA from 1 species